CAAUAGCGUAUAUUAAAGUUGUUGCAGUUAAAAAGCUCGUAGUUGAAUUUCUGUCAGGAGUGACCGGGCCUUUGGAUGAACUUCCAUUGUUUUUUGCUCUGUUUGUCAUCUCUAGACAUCCUGAAAUAUUUUUUAAAAAUAUUUCUCUUUUACUGUUAGCAAAAUAGAGUGUUCCAAGCAAAGCGUAGUUUUGAAUACAUUAGAAUGGAAUAAUAAGAUAGGACUUUGGUGCUAUUUUGUUGGCUUGCACACCAAGGUAAUGAUUAAUAGGGACAGUUGGGGGUAUUCGUAUUUAAUUGUCAGAGGUGAAAUUCUUGGAUUUAUGAAAGACGAACUACUGCGAAAGCAUUUACCAAGGAUGUUUUCAUUAA
rnacentral:rRNA from 1 species